AUACGGAGGGUGCAAGCGUUGUCCGGAUUUAUUGGGUUUAAAGGGUGCGUAGGCGGCUAUUUAAGUCAGUGGUGAAAUCCUUCAGCUUAACUGGAGAACUGCCAUUGAUACUGAAUAGCUUGAGUAUAGUUGAGGUAGGCGGAAUUGACAGUGUAGCGGUGAAAUGCUUAGAUAUUGUCAAGAACACCGAUUGCGAAGGCAGCUUACUAAACUAUAACUGACGCUGAGGCACGAAAGCGUGGGUAUC
rnacentral:rRNA from 1 species